UUGGAGUUAACGAGUCGUCUACUUUGGUCUUGUCUUUUGGGAAGUCUCAGAAAGUGUCCAUUAGCAUUUUCAGAUGAAAACACUGAAAAAAGUUUUCCAAGCAGUACUUCAUCCAAUUAAUAAUUUGUCUUUCAAUUUAAUUUACCAUUAUUUGUUUUAUUUUUCAAGUAAUACAUUUUUUGUUCAAAUGAUUGAGGAGAGACGAUGGUGGCACUAAUAUUGUGAGUGCAACAAUUUAACGACCACAUUUAAUAGACAUGGCUGCUGUUUGAAAGAGUAAGUUUAAAGUAAUUAAUGGUAUAAAUACAAAAAUGGAUGAAUAUACUUCUGUUCUAUCUAGGUUCAGAGCCAUCUUAAAGACUAUCUUGUUUUUGAAGGAAGAAGAAAUUUGGAAGGAAGAGAUGCUUUGGAAGUAAAAGUUGUCAAUGACAAGCCUGACAUCCCCCACAUCACCACCCAUUUUUACAGUAAACCAGAAUUCAGCUGACAAGACAGACUCCAGUAAGAAUCCUCAGCGCUGAUCAAGCAAGUCCACAACUAACCCAUCUAGAUUGGGAAUCAUCUUGGAAGAAAACUUUGUAAUGGAUGAACCGACCGAUCUCAGGGCUUCUAUGUCCAUUUUUUCAGACUGAUUUAUGCCCUGCACCUGGACUAAGUGUUUGAAAAGCACUUUAUAUUUUAUUCAGCAGGUAAUGCUCAACCUCGGAAAAGGUGAGUUAGCACAUAAAAUUCAGUACUGCCAGUAUUUUGGAAUAAAACCAUAUAGUUUUGAUGUCGUUUGUUGUGAUUCUGAGGUAAACUGUUCUAUGUUAGUUUGUUAAACUAGUUUUUUUUAUGUUUU